CCACCUUUUACCAAGUAUAAUCUGCUCUAUGACUCUCCCUAGCCGUAUCCCAGAUUAAUUGGGUCAGAUGCUGGGGUGAGGCCAGCAGUGUGUGACGAGCCUUGGUGGAGAGAAAGAAGACUGUGGCCUUCAGGCACAAAGGCAGGAAUAUUGCAACCCCCAUUCCGUACAAGCAGCAGCCCCCACUAAUGACAAUGGGUUCCACGAAAGCCACACUCUGGAAGAGGUACCCAAGUGGGGCUAGCCACAGAGCUGGAAGACUGUCUCAAAACCACACAAGGCCGUAUGAUUCUAGAAUGCAAGUGGUAGCUGUUCGCCCAUGUAGUUCGCCCAUGUUCGUCCUUGCAGUUCCAACUCAUCUUCAGCUCUACUGAAAGCUGACAGCUCAGUCUUGAAAACCCAAAGCUCUGCUCCUGCUAUCAGGAGGAUUCCUGCAUCCAUUUAUUGUAUCCUCCAUUCCAGACUGGACUCCUAAACCAUGCCACGCCCUAUCUGGGCACCAGGGCUAACAAGAUGCAGAACUCUCCGCUCUCUCCAGCACCAUGUCUGCUUGCACGCUGCCAUGCUUCUCCCCAUGGUGAUAAUGGACUGAACCUCUGAAACUGGCCCAAGAGGACAUUCAGUCCCAAGACGUGUUCAUGGGCAAAGCUUGCCAAUGUUGCAAGAAGCGGCUGCUGUAAGCAGGCAGGCUGCAGACCUUUGCACACGGCACUGCCUCUCAUAGGCAGGCAACUUAAGUGCUCACUGCCUAUGGGAAGCUGUGCUGUGCUGUCUGGAGCUGGCUGAGGCAAGGCACGUGAGCUUGAGUGGAGCACGUGCAGGGCCACUGUCAUUAUGGAAAUCCUGACUCUGAAGGCUAAUUCUGCGUCUAAAUGAGUUGAAAUGAA
rnacentral:lncRNA from 1 species